CCUACGGGGGGCAGCAGUGAGGAAUAUUGGUCAAUGGGCGGGAGCCUGAACCAGCCAAGUCGCGUGAGGGAAGACGGUCCUAUGGAUUGUAAACCUCUUGAGGCGGGGAGAAAAGCCGGGCACGCGUGCGCGGAGGGAGAGUACCAGCAGAAUAAGCAUCGGCUAACUCCGUGCCAGCAGCCCCGGUAAUACGGAGGAUGCGAGCGUUAUCCGGAUUUAUUGGGUUUAAAGGGUGCGUAGGUGGUUAAUUAAGUCAGCGGUGAAAGUUUGUGGCUCAACCAUAAAAUUGCCGGUGAAACUGGUUGACUUGAAUAUGUUAGAGGUAAACGGAAUGCGUGGUGUAGCGGUGAAAUGCAUAGAUAUCACGCAGAACUCCGAUUGCGAAGGCAGCUUACUAAACUCUAACUGACACUGAAGCACGAAAGCGUGGGGAUCAAACAGGAUUAGAUACCCUAGUAGUC
rnacentral:rRNA from 1 species